AACUCCUGACCUCAGGUGAUCUGCCCGCCUCAGCCUCCCAAAGUGCUGGGAUUACAGGCCUGAGCCACCGUGCCCAGGCUAUACUCUUUUUCUGUAAAUGCUUUUUGCAAACAACAACUAUGGAUCAGAAUAGCUGCAUUUUUGAAACACAUUUUGUUAUGUCAAUAUUUUUAGAUAGUUAGAACCUGGUCCUAAACCGCAAAGUAAGCUUGAUUCUGUAAUAAAAAUGUUUACAACUGUCUUGACACACAGAAACCUUUUUAAAAAUAGACACUCCCUGAAGUCCUUUGUUCACAAGGUCACACACUGAUGCUUAUGUGUUCCAGCAUCUAAUAUGGCCACAGUAGUCUUUUUUUUUCCAUCUUUAGAAACCUACACGGGAACAGCAGAUGGAACAGAUCUGAACCCACUCCACUGUGUGUGUGAAUGAACACUCCCUUUUGCUCCAUGCCGAAAUGCUGUACAUCUAUUUUGGAUUGUAUAUUUGUGUGUGUAUGCUUUGAUUCAUAGUAACUUGUUAUGAAAUUGAUUUGUAUUGAAUACAAACUGCAAAUAAAAAU
rnacentral:lncRNA from 1 species